rnacentral:rRNA from 1 species
GACGAACGCUGGCGGCGUGCUUAACACAUGCCAGUCGAACGGAAAGGCCCUGCUUUUGUGGGGUGCUCGAGUGGCGAACGGGUGAGUAACACGUGAGUAACCGGCCCUUGACUUUGGGAUAACUUCAGGAAACUGGGGCUAAUACCGGAUAGGAGCUCCUGCUGCAUGGUGGGGGUUGGAAAGUUUCGGCGGUUGGGGAUGGACUCGCGGCUUAUCAGCUUGUUGGUGGGGUAGUGGCUUACCAAGGCUUUGACGGGUAGCCGGCCUGAGAGGGUGACCGGCCACAUUGGGACUGAGAUACGGCCCAGACUCCUACGGGAGGCAGCAGUGGGGAAUAUUGCACAAUGGGCGGAAGCCUGAUGCAGCAACGCCGCGUGCGGGAUGACGGCCUUCGGGUUGUAAACCGCUUUCGCCUGUGACGAAGCGUGAGUGACGGUAAUGGGUAAAGAAGCACCGGCUAACUACGUG